AUGUUACUGGCUGGACAGUAGCAAAUUCCGGCUAAUGUUCUUGGUAACAGAUGAGCAGUUUUUACUUUUUUCUUUUCUAAAAGCAAGAGGAAAUAUGGCAUGGCAAUGCUAGAGGGAUUGCUUGGUCAAGUUGUUGAGACUGCUUUUUUUAAGAGAUCUGUUGGCCUUAAGUACGGUUAUGGCAUUUUAAAGGCAAUAUAAUUCCUCCUCAAUACCAGCCUGAGAAUACUAUUCACAAAUGAACUGGUACUUUUAUUACUAAAAAAAAAUAAAUGUACUUUCCAAACAACCUAGCUUUAUCAACUGGUGUACUGGUUGCAGUUUCCCUUUUUCCCCAUGGUCUUGCACAUUUGUGUAACAGUUGUAAAAUGUAACACCUAUGCUGAGUUCUCCCUUUGAUUUUGCUGUAGCCCAGCCCUGUGACCUGUGCUUUCCGUUCCCAAGCCUUACUCCAGUUCCUUCACUGCUCUUCUCUUAGGAGUCCACAGCAUCUGGCCACAUUUUUCCAGUCUCACCUUUGCACUGGCUGGGGAGGAGGAAUGCUGACCACAAAUACCAUAGCAACCCAGACUGCAUCAGGAAGAAACUGAUGCUGUCAGUAGUGGUAAACAGCAUGAGUAAUAACUGCAGGAGCCUGAAGGUUUUAUAGUAAUUCACAAAAAAAAGAGCAACGAAAGCCAAGUACAAUAUGAAAGGAGGGGAUGCCAAAGCAGCCAACACAUCUUUGUUAAAGCACAAACUUCUGAGCAGCUUUCUUCUUUCAUACAAACGGACAGUUCUGCAGCCCGUGACUUCAUACAGCUCAGUGGGAAGUCAAGCAAGCAUAUAUAGGAGCCUGCAGCAACGCGAAGACCUCUAGUAUUAGAACUGGUACAAACUAAUACAAUUGCCCUCAUGUUUGCGCUGUGUGUUCCCUGGAAUCUGCUGUGCAGUCCUAUGAAGCAAUGAACAUUAUCUGCUCACGCUGCAAUUCAUUAGGGGACUGCUCUCUGGAAUGUGUGGCCAGGUUAAAACCAUUCAGAUCUCCCAUGACUCCACUACUUAGUGGAGGGAGCUACCUGGGAGUUCUCCAAAGGAAAUAUUUUCUUUACUUGGAUAAAGAUGAAUUGGCAAAAUCAAACGAUUUUGUUAAAACCUCCCUCGUUUCUGUUGAAGUUGACGGAACAGGCAGUGUCCUGGCCGAUUCAUUCAGCUCCUCAGCAAAUUGUCAAGUGAGCUCAAGAACCCAGAGAGUGCUCCCCAAACCUGAGGUUCCUUAGUGACUCAGGGCCACUUGGCAGCCAUCCUGACUUUUGUAUGGUAUUGUUGCAGUAAUUCAGUAAAAUGCUUAGAUAUGAACCAAUACAAAACAUUUUCCUUUUCCCAGUUAAGCUGCACAAACUUUCUCUGACUUUUCCAGAUGUGCAGUAAUGCAGGAGGCUGCUGCUAGGGCUCCAGGCAACAUGGAGAAAAUUUCUCCAACUUCCAGCAAUGUCAAAGAAUAUGUCCUUCAGAAUUUGUCAAUGAGCUCUUGGAAUUCCUGUUUUGUAAGGAACUUAAACAGUUUAAUUUUUGUUCAUGAGGAAAACUGUUCUGUUACACAAGUUCACUUCUCUGUUGGCUUUGUUUCUGGAUUUAUAGAACUUCUUACCAGGACUGAAAACCAAGCAGCAUUUUGAAUUCGUUACCUGAAGUUUACAUUUCUAUGUACACUUUAGAGACAGGCUUAGCGUACCAAACCAUAUAUUGCAUUACCUUCUUC